rnacentral:tRNA from 1 species
GGAGUAGUACUCAAGAGGCUGAAGAGGCGCCCCUGCUAAGGGUGUAGAUCGGUAAUCACCGAUGCGAGAGUUCAAAUCUCUCCUACUCCGCCA